UUAAAGUUUUUUUAGCUUUAUUUUUUUAUAUAUUUUUAAUUUAAAUGUAAAUUUUAGUGAGAAUUGAAAAAAAUUAUUAAAUAUAAUUUUUAGUUAAAAAAAGUAGCAGUAAAGAAUUUUAUUUAUAUAAGAGAUUAGGAAAUAGUAAUGAUUGUAGUAUAAACUAAAUUUGUGCCAGCAGUUGCGGUUACACAAAUUAUGCAAUAAAAAAUUUAUUGGUUUUAGUAAAUAAUAUCAUUUGAAUUUAUAAUAUAAUUUAUUAAGUGAAAUUUUAAAUUUUUAUAGAAUUUAUAAUUAUGAGGCUAAUAAAUUUUUUAAAAAACUAGGAUUAGAUACCCUAUUAUUAAAAAUGUAGUCUUAAAAUCCAGAUUAGUAUUAGUUAUGGUCUUGAAAAUCAAAAAAGUUGGCGGUAUCUUAGUCUAUUCAGAGGAACCUGUUCUAUAAUUGAUAGUCCACAGUUUUAGGUACUUAUUUUUUUAACUUACAUAUCGCCGUAGGUUGAAUAUUUUUUAAGAAUUAGAAUAUUCAAGAUUUUUAAUAAAAGAAAAUCAGGUCCAGGUGUAGUUUAUGGAUAAGAAGAAAUGGGUUACAAUAAAAAUUAUUUAGAUGGAAAUAUUUUUGUAAUAAAAUUUGAAAAGUGGAUUUGAAAGUAAUUUUAAAUAAAUUUUUAAUAUGAUUUUAGCUCUAAGAUAUGUACAUAUCGCCCGUCACUUUCACUUUAAGGUGAAAUAAGUCGUAACAUAGUAGGUGUACUGGAAAGUGUACCUAGAAAGAA
rnacentral:ncRNA from 1 species